rnacentral:rRNA from 1 species
GAUGACGCUGGCGGCGUGCCUAAUACAUGCAAGUCGAGCGAACGGACGAGAAGCUUGCUUCUCUGAUGUUAGCGGCGGACGGGUGAGUAACACGUGGAUAACCUACCUAUAAGACUGGGAUAACUUCGGGAAACCGGAGCUAAUACCGGAUAAUAUUUUGAACCGCAUGGUUCAAAAGUGAAAGACGGUCUUGCUGUCACUUAUAGAUGGAUCCGCGCUGCAUUAGCUAGUUGGUAAGGUAACGGCUUACCAAGGCAACGAUGCAUAGCCGACCUGAGAGGGUGAUCGGCCACACUGGAACUGAGACACGGUCCAGACUCCUACGGGAGGCAGCAGUAGGGAAUCUUCCGCAAUGGGCGAAAGCCUGACGGAGCAACGCCGCGUGAGUGAUGAAGGUCUUCGGAUCGUAAAACUCUGUUAUUAGGGAAGAACAUAUGUGUAAGUAACUGUGCACAUCUUGACGGUACCUAAUCAGAAAGCCACGGCUAACUACGUGCCAGCAGCCGCGGUAAUACGUAGGUGGCAAGCGUUAUCCGGAAUUAUUGGGCGUAAAGCGCGCGUAGGCGGUUUUUUAAGUCUGAUGUGAAAGCCCACGGCUCAACCGUGGAGGGUCAUUGGAAACUGGAAAACUUGAGUGCAGAAGAGGAAAGUGGAAUUCCAUGUGUAGCGGUGAAAUGCGCAGAGAUAUGGAGGAACACCAGUGGCGAAGGCGACUUUCUGGUCUGUAACUGACGCUGAUGUGCGAAAGCGUGGGGAUCAAACAGGAUUAGAUACCCUGGUAGUCCACGCCGUAAACGAUGAGUGCUAAGUGUUAGGGGGUUUCCGCCCCUUAGUGCUGCAGCUAACGCAUUAAGCACUCCGCCUGGGGAGUACGACCGCAAGGUUGAAACUCAAAGGAAUUGACGGGGACCCGCACAAGCGGUGGAGCAUGUGGUUUAAUUCGAAGCAACGCGAAGAACCUUACCAAAUCUUGACAUCCUUUGACAACUCUAGAGAUAGAGCUUUCCCCUUCGGGGGACAAAGUGACAGGUGGUGCAUGGUUGUCGUCAGCUCGUGUCGUGAGAUGUUGGGUUAAGUCCCGCAACGAGCGCAACCCUUAAGCUUAGUUGCCAUCAUUAAGUUGGGCACUCUAAGUUGACUGCCGGUGACAAACCGGAGGAAGGUGGGGAUGACGUCAAAUCAUCAUGCCCCUUAUGAUUUGGGCUACACACGUGCUACAAUGGACAAUACAAAGGGCAGCGAAACCGCGAGGUCAAGCAAAUCCCAUAAAGUUGUUCUCAGUUCGGAUUGUAGUCUGCAACUCGACUACAUGAAGCUGGAAUCGCUAGUAAUCGUAGAUCAGCAUGCUACGGUGAAUACGUUCCCGGGUCUUGUACACACCGCCCGUCACACCACGAGAGUUUGUAACACCCGAAGCCGGUGGAGUAACCUUUUAGGAGCUAGCCGUCGAAGGUGGGACAAAUGAUU